rnacentral:rRNA from 1 species
UACGAAGGGGGCUAGCGUUGCUCGGAAUUACUGGGCGUAAAGCGCACGUAGGCGGCUUUGCAAGUUAGAGGUGAAAGCCUGGAGCUCAACUCCAGAACUGCCUUUAAAACUGCAUCGCUUGAAUCCAGGAGAGGUGAGUGGAAUUCCGAGUGUAGAGGUGAAAUUCGUAGAUAUUCGGAAGAACACCAGUGGCGAAGGCGGCUCACUGGACUGGUAUUGACGCUGAGGUGCGAAAGCGUGGGGAGCAAACAGG